UCGAACCACAGUCGAGAGCACUACGAAGAACGAGUGAUACAUAUUGUCUUCAAUCAGUUUAUAUUGUGAAUAUUUAAUUAAUGUGCAAAUGUGCAUCACCAUCAACAGCAAACAUAAAAAAAUAAUAAUACAGUUUUACUUUUCAUCAACGUCAUCAAAUUCUUUCGUCAAUGGCUGUGUUGAUUUUCAGUACUAACUUUCGUCAACGGCUAUAUAUUUUCAGUACUGGCAAUAAUAUUAAUCCUCAGUUACCUCUCUGGGUUACGUUAACCCAUAUCAAAAAUAAUUUUUUCAAAAUUUUAGAGGAUUACUUUUCAUUUUUUCUUAAAUAUCUUAAGUCGUAGAAAUCUGGUAAUAUUUAUACCGAUAUAUCUUUUUUUUUUACUGUCUGGCGUAUCGAUUGUAAAAAAAUACUUUAAAAUAGCUUUAUUAGAUCCAGAAAUAAAGACAAAAGAAAACUCUAAGUGACUCUAACCCAUAAGUGGUGAAAUAGGAUAGCCAAAAAUGAGUGGUAACUGAGGUUUAAAACACAGAAACUGCGCCGGAAAAAAUCGCGUUAUCAACGUGUCGACGUCGGAAAAAUCACUUUGUACCUGAGAAGACGAAGACGUGCAAGAAAGAAAUUCAAUGACAAGCGUAAACAAAAAGGAGAGAUCCUGAAGGAAGAGAAAAGAAAUGUGCCAUGCGAGGCGCCAUACGAUCUCGCGAAGAAACUGUAUUCUCCGGAAUUCAGAAACUUGCCAAUUUUGAGCCUAUUAAAGCACGAAUUUAUCAUGAAAAUUCGUAUGGUUAUGGUAUACGGUGAUUGUGGCAACAAACCACUAAUUGUGAAAAAGGACAAGAUUGUGCACGCUUUAGAUUUUAAUGGAAAGUAUUAUAAAUAUUUCAACUCUGGUGAUACACAUAUUAGUUUCUAUCCAAAAAUAAUAUUAUAUCGAUAUGAAUUCUCUUUUAUAACGAUAUGACAGUAUAAAAUUAAUAUUCAAAAAGCUAUCAUAGAGAGAAUAUUAACAUACAUACAUCUCCAUAUGUAUAUAUAAUUUAAUUUAAUGUGCAUAUAUAAGCUUUUCAGAUAUAUUAAUUCUUUUCCGAUUUCAGUAUAACGGAUUUCUAUAUCUUUUUCGAAAAUGUUGCAACACUGUUGUACAAAUUUUAUUUUGCUAAAAUAGAAUCGACAUUUAUUAUUAAAGAAUACUAAGGAACGAUAUAUAAUAGAGACAAAUAAAAUAAUAAUUUAAUUUGUUAAUAUUAAAACUUAUCGCGUUGAUUGGA